rnacentral:pre_miRNA from 1 species
UCUUAUGGAUGAGCAAAAAAAGUGAUUUCUUGAGAUGGAAUCUACCCCAGUGAGGAUGCUGUGAA